AUCAUCUGGCAAAUUGAUCUUCCAUCUUCUUCUUUCUUUUCUCCUUCUUUGCAGAGGUUCCUGAGGAUCGAGAGCUCGGUUCAUGCAGAUUAAGCAAAUCUUAGAGAAAAAAUUCCCGAACAAACUGGACAUUACGGGAGAAGUUGCUGAGGGUGGGACCUUCGAAGUGGUUCUGCCAGAACCCGAUAUAGUUUUGCAUUCCAAGAAG